rnacentral:tRNA from 1 species
AGCAGCAUGGCUCAAUGGAAAGAGCGUGGGCUUAGGACUCAGAGGUCAUGGGUUCUAAUCCCAGCUCUGCCA